rnacentral:lncRNA from 1 species
UAUCUUUCCUCUUCGAUGUCAUGCAAAUCAAGUAUCAAUCACAAGACUCUUCACCCUUCCAGACACACCCAAAAACCAUGUUCAUUGCCCUCUCUACUCUACUACUCUACUGCUUUGGAUGCGACACUGAGCAUUCUAUGAGCUCCAUUUGUCGCUUUUCGACUUGGAGCACUCUAGUUCACAUUAAUUUCAUCAGGUUUCUUGGUUUCACUUCAGUGGCUUCUUUAGUCUCGAUUAUUUUCUCAACUUCUUCCAACUCCGUAAAUGUUUAUCUAAUUUUAGCCCUUUUCUUCUUAGGAAGGUGUGUAUUAAGUUGGAUUCAAAACAGAAAUUCAGGUGGAAUCAGGGGAGGCUACCUGUACAGCAGUAACUUGCGG